UCAUUCAUUUAUUCAUGUGUUCAUUCUCCGAGGAUCUGCAAUAUGCUCGAUGCGAGAGGUACAGACCUGAAUAAGGCAAGGUCUCUGAAAUUGAGGCAUUCCCAGCAAGAAGGUGUUGCUGCAGAGAAGUCUUGUGUGAAACAGGGAGAGAGCCGCCCGGAAGGGCAACCAAAGAGGCCAUCUGGCUUCCACACCUGGCUUUCAAUUGCCUGUGACUCUUCAUCUGAUCUUCAUCUUCAUGCAGAGCACCAGUGGCGCUUAGUAAUAACCAUCCGACAAUAUCAUCCUUCCCUCCACACACUGCAAACACCUGGAGUAUCUACACAGGUUGACCUGCCAACUUGCUUGAAGAAGUCAUCCACUGGGUUCAUUAGAUGCUAUCUCUAAGGAAGCCACUGUGCCUGGCCUGGUGGUUUUGGUGUAUGUAAGACAGAGGCAAACCAUCCUAGAAUUUCCAGUGUCCCAAGGUGUGCACCAGAGGAUCAGAUGUGACCGAAAACAAAAGAUAGGAUGACCGUUUAACAGGGAAGAACAUGCUACCACAACGUGACGAGAUCCCUGGCCUGUGUAUCUUCUCAAAACCUCAAGUCUGGUUUAGCCAAGAGCUAGAGAUGACCAGGGGACAGUGGUCAGCCUGGGAUGGCUCUGCCACACCUGGAAUCACCGCUGAGUGAAGGGCCUGUGGAGACCACAACACUCUGAGAAGUCCACAGCAAUUCCAGGGUGUAACGCAAGGGCAGGGAAUGCAUCCUCUUCAUCUCUGUAACUCAAGCCUUACAUGACAGCAGCCCGGUCUCCCAAGAGCCUUUGAUGGUAAAGGCAGCUGAUGAUGUGGAGCAUGAAUUCAGCAGCAUCACACACACCUUCCGUGAUUCUGCCCAGAUCGCCUUGCCUUGACCUGAUCCCAUCAAGAAGCCUCACUGAAAGCUGAGUGACCUGAGUACAAAGGCUUCAGAUCUUCCUACCUCACGGCCGGCCCAGCCCUCCUUCCUGUUGUCCAGCACAGCAUCCGGCAAAGGCCAUUACCCUUAUUUAAGGGCAGAUGGUGAGUUGAAAACCACACAACAGAGGUAGUUCAGGCACAUAGGUCUGUAGGAACCAAGUUCAGACGUAAGCUAAGAGGUCACCAAUGGCUCCACAGCUGUGCCCCUACCCCCAGCGCACCCCGAGAGCUUCCUCCCAAAAGAUUCUUUAGCAAAAUGGGAAAGGGAGGAGAUCAAGAGUAGGAGGGGAAUGAGGCAAAGGAGCCAAGAAGGGGGUUUCUAAUACAGAAUUGAAACUGCCCUGUUCAGGGGCUGGCAGAUUUCCAAGGACCUCCAAGGAUGCAGAGAAGGCCUGGGAGAAAACCAGGGACAGGAGGCAAGGUUCACUUCAGCUCAGACACACUCCACCUCCUCCUCUGGCUCCAACCCCCUCUACUCAUGGCCAGACGUCUUAAAUUCCCCUUUUUUUUUUUUUUCCCCUUUUUUGCG